CAGAGUUCCUGGUCGAGCGGAGGACCAAGAUGUGCGUCAAAAGUGGAUGAAACACAUAAACCGAGAUGGCUCAUCACAUGCCAGAUGAUUAAUAAAAUAAUCUUGAAUACCUGUAAGAACAUGUAUUUUAUUGCUACAACUGGUUUGCCGUAACAGCCAAAAAAAUAAAAAAUGGUCGGUAGGUCGUAAAAAAUGUUAAAAAAAAAAAAUAAAAAAUUUAAUUGCAUCACAAUAAGUGAAUUGUGAUUGUCAAAACAUUUUAGUAACUAAGCUGAAUUUUAUUAGGUUUAGUGACGUUACAAUGUUUACAUGGUAGGCUACAAUUUCUGGUAAGCUAUAUGUGGCAGGUGACAGUGAGGGAGUAAAGUACGAAUUGAGGGGUGUGGCUAGCUAUGUAUAAAGAUUGGUGGUAGGAACGAGAACGGUAGGUGCGUUUGUUUCCAGCCGGCGGAAAUAGAUCGACACUCUUACUGUUUGUUUGCGAGAGGUUCGCGUGUGGAUUUUCUUGGAUCUCGGAGAUGGCUCUAUGGAGCCCAUUGAUUCAUAUGCAAGAGGUUUGCAUGUGCUGUCUUUUGGAUCUUUGACAUAGCUCUAUGGAGCCCAAUUGUUGCUCUUGUUGUAUUUGAGUUUUUUUUUUUUUUUUGGUUUGAAUGUGUUGGUUUGGAUAUAUUGUCUAGUCCGCCCAGGUAUUUAGAUCGGUAAUUGGGCUGGAAGAUGUGGUUAUGGCCCUUUGGGCGGACUAGUUUUAUUUGUUUCUUUUUUUUGUAAUUUGUUUGUUUCCCCCAUUGUUUGUAUACUUUACAAGGACACUAGUCGAGUGUUGGAGCAGAGUUGAGCUAUUUUUGCAUGUAAUUCACUUUGAUGAAUUGUGUGAAUCACAAGGUUUCUUUUUAUGAAUUUAUGUACAGGUUUUUUGUGUGAUUUUUCUUUUGUUAUUUUUGUGUGGUUUGAUGCUCAACUCUUGCUUGGUUACCUCCAUAUAUAGGGUGUCCUGUAUAAUAACUUUGUAAAGCCAUCAAUAAAUCUUGGGGAUUUAUUUAAACGAACCUGAGUUGUGUUGAUGUUUAUGUAAAGGUGACCCUUGUUACAUUUUGGCGUAGUCGCAAAUUUUUUCCCCCAAGAUUAUUGGUGGUAAAGUAUUAUAAUUGUGAGUGGGGGAAUAUUUUUUUUUUUGUUUGUUUUUUUUCAACAAGAGCAACAUUGGGCUGUUGUGUUUGUAUAGCAGACAAGUUCCAGCGCCAUGUCUUUGGAAGGAGCUGUAGGAGAUACCAUGGAUCUGGAGCAACGUUCACAAGGAGUUUAUUCACCAACUGCCCCAUCUGGGCCUUCGAGUAGUAGCAUGGACAAUGUAGGUUCAGCUGCAACUGCAGUGGAGAGAGAGGGACAAGUGGUGUUUAUUCAACAAACUGAGAAGGUACCAAAGUUUUCAGGGAAUUUGGAUAGGUCUGAUUCUCUUACCUUAGAAGAAUGGAUUGAAUUGGUAGAGAUUCAUAUUCAAACAAAACCUACUGAAAAGGAAAAAGCUCUGUGGGUGUAUAAUCAUUUGGAGGGUGCUGCCCAA